GGGCUCCAUAUGAUCCGUUUUGAGAGGAUGGAUUCCGGGUACAGAGGAGGGCUGUUUGGGAUACCCAUUUAAAUGGGAGUUGAUUAAGGACUAAACUUAGGGUUUAAAUAAAUUAAACCUAAGUUUUAUUCUAUUUUAUUUCCCUUUUCCCUUUAUUUUCCCCGAUCCCUUUUUCUUCCCCGCCGAGACCUUCUUUCCCCGAUCUCCUCUCCCGGCUCUCUCGCGCGACCUCUUCUUCCCCGACGCCGACGGCCUCCUCGUGCUAUCGCCCCCUCCUUCCUCUCCCUCUCGAGGUGUGGAUCCCUUCUCCUCUAUUGAGCCUUUUAGCGAGUUUUCCGGUUGUUCUCUGCUCCUAGCGUCUCUACCGCGGCCAGUUUAAUCGCGCCGGCGUCGUGUAGCCACCGAGCCUCCCUUCUCCUCCACCGAUUGAUCGAGUCCAUCCAGCCACUCAAUCUUCCCUCUCCGAGUCAUGGACGCCGAGUGCUCGUUGAGAAUGGGCAUCCAAGACCCCUAUUCUACCGUGCCCUAGAUCGCCUUUGCACAGAUACUCUCAGUCAAGAAGGGGGAAACCUACCUCUAGCUUGGAUCUUGCUUUACCUCACGCACGAGCCGGGCCUCUGAUCGCCGAAAUACCUAGUUCCAGCCAUUCCCUAGCUUGACGAGGAGGUUCUGGUCACCAGAAGCUGUGGCGAUCUCUAUGGCGAGGAGGGUUGUUGUUCGAGUUCACCACUGGAUAGAUCACCAAUGUCGGCAGAGGACAGUAGCUCUUGUUCUUCACAGUGCAUUUGGAGGGGAAGUUGCUACGAAUAUGGAUUUGGGUUCCAACAGUGAUUUUCUUCAGCAACAAAUCAUGUUCUGGGGCAUCUGGAUUGAGGUAGGGUUCUGUUGAGGUCUGUGUGUGUUCUUGGAGUUUAUGGACAGGGAGUCAUAAGAGCUGAGAGCUGUUGUACUUCUGCCGGACCUCAAGUAUCUUCCACCUUGCUCCAGCUACGGACUCUAGCAGUGGUUGCUUCAGUUUUGGCUCUUUGAUGGCUCUUGGCACUAUUGACACCAAUCUAUGAGCACAUGGAAGCAUGUAGAUGGUUUGGAGGAUUAAUCAGAGAUCAGAUUUAGUUGGAGUGAUCCUAGUUGGGACUUGGAUAUGGGAUGAUCAUCACGACGUGGGAUUUAUUCUGGACACGGUCGACAAAUUAAG